rnacentral:tRNA from 1 species
GCAGGUAUAGCUCAGUUGGUAGAGCUUCUGAUUUCCAAUCAGAAUGUCGCGUGUUCGAAUCACGUUGCCUGCU